rnacentral:rRNA from 1 species
UACGAAGGGGGCUAGCGUUGUUCGGAAUCACUGGGCGUAAAGCGCACGUAGGCGGAUAUGCCAGUCAGGGGUGAAAUCCCGGAGCUCAACUCCGGAACUGCCUUUGAUACAGCAUAUCUUAAGUCCGGAAGAGGUGGGUGGAAUUCCUAGUGUAGAGGUGAAAUUCGUAGAUAUUAGGAAGAACACCGGUGGCGAAGGCGGCCCACUGGUCCGGUACUGACGCUGAGGUGCGAAAGCGUGGGGAGCAAACAGG